rnacentral:rRNA from 1 species
AUGAAGAUCUUCUUCUGGCUCCUUCAACAAAACCGACUAUGGUGUAACGAUCGGCUUCAGCGGCGCGGAUGGCCAAACAGAUACUUCUGCCAAUGUUGUCUUCGUCACCUUGAGACUUUAGAACACCUGUUCUGGUCCUGCCCUUGCUCUCUGAAGAUCUGGACCGCGGCAUCGCUUUGGCGCGGCUGCCAUGCACUCAACCCCGCUAGAUGGAGUGCGGCACCCUCAAGCCCAGCCAGGAUCAAACUAAUCACCCAGAAGGCGCAACCGGGGAGUGAAAGGCAAGCUGUCCGCUCAAUGGUUAUUUUGGUCUGUUGGGAGAUCUGGCAAGAAAGGAACAGCUGCACCUUCCGCAACAAGGAAGCAAGCACAGCAGAUGUCAUUGCCAAAAUUCAGGCCAUGAUCGAGCUCUGGCGUUUAGCAGGUGCAAAGCAUUUUGAGCGCCCCUUUGGGAAAAAUGACGCGAGAGGAUAUGCCACGACGACGCCACGAGCCGCAUUUUCUUUUCCUUUUCAUGUACUCUUUCACACACUGAUCACUUGA